rnacentral:lncRNA from 1 species
AACAACUUGGAAUCCACCUGAGUGGAUUAAAUGUCCAGGAAGUUGUGAGAGAUCUCUUUCACCUCCAGCCUCACCGUGUCUGUUGCAUUUUCCCGAUUUACUGUCUGAAUUCCGGCGGAAAAGGAAAUAGAGUUCUGGAGGCUGGAAGCACGAGAUAAAGGUGCCGGCAGGUUCGGUUCCUGGUGAGGGCCUGUUUCGCGCCCUGCAGACGGCUGCGUCCCACUGUGGGUUUUCCCCUUAUGAUGCAGUGGUGUGUCUGACUCCACGGCUGAAAUCGCUCUUUGCCACGGAUACAGCUAGAUGUUGAAAACCGUUCUGGCCUGUCUGCUCAGAGGACGUGUUUGUCAGGAGUUUCCAGACUGGCCCUGGAGGGGAACUCAGAAUUUGUCCGCAGGACGAUGCUGCCUCCCCCUGUGGAAGUCGUGGAUGGACGAGCAAACGGAUAAGAGCGGGAGCAGCAGGGGGCAGUGGUGAAGUUCAGCGACUCCAGAAUCAAAUGCCGAGUGAAAAUCCCAGCUCAGACAUUCUUGUGUGAUUUCCAGCAAGUCAGUUAACCCCCAGCGCCUCGGUUUCCUCAAGUGUAAGCUUGGAUGAUGCCUGAACCUGCCUCACAGAACUGUGGAGAUGAUUAAGUGAAUCAACGCCGGGAGGGGCUCAGAACAGCGCCUGGCACAGAGCAAGCGCAACUUGUGUGCUUGGCAUUUUCAAAUAACAACAAACCAUAUUUGCUCAAGGAACAGACUUUGGUUGGAAAGUUCUUUUAAUCGGUUCCUGGGUGGCCAACAAGCAGUCCGCUCUGCUUAGAACUAGGAGACCCCAGCUCCAGCCUCGGCCCUGCCCUUACUGGCUGUGUCACUUGGGGAAAGUUACUGGAUCUUUCUGAGCCCCCAAUUCACAUGUGUGUGAAAUCAGCUGUGGUCCUUCUUCACGAGAUUCCCGUGAGCAUUCAGUGAAAUCCUGGCUCAAGUGGCUGAACCUGAGUCUCUUCUUUACAGCCAAUUAAUCUAAGAUCCACACAGGCCAAUCGAACAUCAGGGCAGCGAUCGUGUUUCUCUGAGCUCGGCACAGGCCGCUAUUAGAAGCCCGAGGAGUCGUUAAUAACACAGCCUCACUGUCUUUUCCUGUUUCCCACCGUGGGCCGCUGAGGGGCUGGAACUGUGUUGUCCACAGUGGGGCUGGGGCGGCAUUGAAGGAGCGUCGGGAGCUCUCGGUCCCGACAGAGAAAACAAUAUGCCUGUGCUUCUCCAAGGGCCGUGCUCUCCAUCACAAACAUACCGGGGCCCUGUUCCGGGGAGUGUCACAUGACUUGCCUGAGCUGGAGGAAAGUCCCCCUUCCUCGUGGAUCAGGGACCGUCUUGGGUGGUGUCUUGGCUGCACUGGCCGAGGGUGGAUUGUGCUUUGUGAGGGGGAUUUGCGCAGAAUCUGCUUAUGCUCUUAGGUUGGCUGGCGCGGCCGAACAAAGGAUGGAAGCGGAGCUGUGGAGGCUGCAGGGAGGCUCCAGGGGAUGCUGCUGGUCCUGCAGACCACACUCUGAGCAGCGAGGGCUCUGGAUGGUUUCUCUGUGCGUGCUCCCUGGACCACGUGUGUCAUGGUCACCUGGGAGGCAGAGGGAAGAGUGCAAACAUCUGGGCACCACUCCUGACCUACAGACUCUCUGGGACCGAGUCCUGGAACCUCACCUUGACCACUGCCCCAGGACAGCCUGACAAGCGCUGAAUUUAGAGCCCACAGGGCCCUGUGGGUUUCUGGGAUGGUCAGAGCUGGGGAGACAGUGGCCCCGGAGUCCCUUUCUCAUCGGGGCAGGGAAGAAAGCACCCACACUGUUGGAGCACCUCUCCUGUGCCAGGCCCUGUGAGAGAGCCUUACAGUUCAUUCGUGUAUUUAAUCCUCAAAACAGCUCCUGGAGGCACCUCCCAUUCUUACUCCCACUUUACACGUGAGCAAACUGAGGCCCAGAGAGCCAAGCCUCUUAUUCAAUGUCCACAAGCAGAUCUGGCAGAGUCGGGUCCCCACCCAGCGGUCUGACAACACAUUGCCCACCCACCCCGCCACUGGGUCUCGGGCUAGCUCUAUUUAGGCCAGGCCUUCUCAGAUUGUAACGUGCCUGUGAAUCACCUGGUGAAAAUGUGGGUUCUGGCUCCCGGGGGAUGCCAAAGCCGUCGUCCUCAGACAGGGCCUCCGCAAGGCUCAGUUUAGGAGCCAUCUGCAGGAGCCAUCUGCAAAUACGCAGAAGGGAUGAGAGACCAGGCACUCUUGGGGAAGUGGGGCAGG